CAGCAGCCACGGGAAUACGUAGGGUACGAGCGUUAAUCGGAAUUACUGGGCGUAAAGCGUGCGCAGGCGGUUCGUUAAGACAGAUGUGAAAUCCCCGGGCUUAACCUGGGAACUGCAUUUGUGACUGGCGAGCUAGAGUAUGGCAGAGGGGGGUAGAAUUCCACGUGUAGCAGUGAAAUGCGUAGAGAUGUGGAGGAAUACCGAUGGCGAAGACAGCCCCCUGGGCCAAUACUGACGCUCAUGCACGAAAGCGUGGGGAGCAAACAGGAUUAGAUACCCCCGUAGUCCCUGUCUCUUAUAC
rnacentral:rRNA from 1 species